UCUUCCAAAAAGAAAGUUUUUUCUUCACCUUCUCCACUACUGGGUUCCAUGUGCUCUGCCUCUUAGGAUUGGCCCCUAAAGGUAGACCUAAGAAAGAGAACGGUAAUUUCUUAGUCAAGCAAUUCAAAAUCUUCGCAAAAUUCUUAGAUUGAUCAUCUUAGAAGCCCACUCCACAAACUACACUUUUAUGAUAAUUGAUUCUUAACCCAGACAUCACCUCGAAACACCUCAACACCCUUUUUAUGUUCAGAAUAUCCUCAUUAUCACUUUCAUAUAAUAUACUAAUGUCAUCUGCAAAUUGAAAAUGUGAGACACUCACAUCAUUGGAACCAACAAAAGCCACAAGAUGAUGCUUGAUAAUGAUGUACUUUCUUCAAACACUUGUUUAACCCAGACAUCACCUCGAAACACCUCAACACCCUUAGGCAUUCUUAACCCAGUUGUCCCCAAUUAUUUUAACUAGUGUUUCUCCAGUGACUAGUGUUUUCCAUUGUAUUGCCCCAGAUUUUACAAACUCUGUUGCUUCCGAGGGAGAAGAAGAGCCUCAUUCUUUGCCAAUUGAUGAACCAACUCUCCAACCUAUCUUGGCUCCAAAUCCUCUUUGGUUUGGUUCAACAGCUCCAUCCUCAUCAAUGGUCACUCCGAAGAAACGCUCCCCUAAACUAGAGCCAGAACUUUCCAAUGGUGGUAAGAGACCUAGACUCAUUCCCUAUUCUCAAAUGGAUUCUCCUCCAGGAGGUUGGCACGUUUUGCUGCAUUUUUUCGUAUCUCGGCUUAUGGAGAUGCGCACUUUCCUUUCGACAAUGGUUAAGCAGUCAGAAAUAUUUUGCUUUCUUUUGAUUUCCUUGUCAGCUUGUAACCAUAAUUAGUUAGUUGCUAGUAUGAUAUGUGGAUUGCUAUGUACUAUUCUACAUUUUAAUUGAAGUUUUUAUUUCUGUCAAAAAAAAAAAAAUUGUCAGAUAUUCGCACAUAAAAAUA